rnacentral:rRNA from 1 species
UCGAGAGGCUUCGGCAAUGGGGGAAACCCUGACCGAGCGACGCCGCGUGGGUGAUGAAGAUUCUCGGAUCGUAAAACCCUGUCAGGUGGGAUGAAAAACCAUUCGGUUAAUACCCGAGUGGCUUGACAGUACCACCAGAGGAAGCUCCGGCCAACUCCGUGCCAGCAGCCGCGGUAACACGGGGGGAGCAAGCGUUGUUCGGAUUCAUUGGGCGUAAAGAGCUCGUAGGCCGCUCUGUAAGUCGGAAGUGAAAGACCACGGCUCAACCGUGGAAACGCUUUCGAAACUGUGGAGCUUGAGGCCGGGAGAGGAGAUCGGAAUUCCUGGUGUAGCGGUGAAAUGCGUAGAUAUCUGGAGGAACACCGGUGGCGAAGGCGGCAUCCUGGACCGGUAUUGACGCUGAGUGAGCGAAAGCCAGGGGAGCAAACGGGAUUAGAUACCCUAGUAGUCCCUGAGCGGGCUGGCAAGGCGCAU